rnacentral:rRNA from 1 species
AUUGAACGCUGGCGGCAGGCCUAACACAUGCAAGUCGAGCGAGCGGCGGACGGGUGAGUAAUGUAUGGGGACUGCCCGAUAGAGGGGGAUAACCACUGGAAACGGUAGCUUAUACCCCAUACUACUGUCUUUCUCAUAUGGGAUUAGCUAGUUGGUGAGGUAAUGGCUUACCUAGGCAACGAUCCCUAGCUGGUCUGAGAGGGUGAUCAGCCACACUGGGACUGAGACACGGCCCAGACUCCUACGGAGGUAGCAGUGGGGAAUAUUGCGCAAUGGGCGCAAGCCUGAUGGAGCCAUGCCGCGUGUAUGAAGAAGGCCCUAGGAUUGUAAAGUACUUUCAGUAGGGAGGCGUUACCGACAGAAGAAGCACCGGCUAACUCCGUGCCAGCAGCCGCGGUAAUAC